GAUGAACGCUGGCGGCGUGCCUAAUACAUGCAAGUCGAGCGAACAGACGAGGAGCUUGCUCCUCUGUCGUUAGCGGCGGACGGGUGAGUAACACGUGGAUAACCUACCUAUAAGACUGGGAUAACUUCGGGAAACCGGAGCUAAUACCGGAUAACAUGUUGAACCGCAUGGUUCAACAGUGAAAGACGGUUUUGCUGUCACUUAUAGAUGGAUCCGCGCCGCAUUAGCUAGUUGGUAAGGUAACGGCUUACCAAGGCAACGAUGCGUAGCCGACCUGAGAGGGUGAUCGGCCACACUGGAACUGAGACACGGUCCAGACUCCUACGGGAGGCAGCAGUAGGGAAUCUUCCGCAAUGGGCGAAAGCCUGACGGAGCAACGCCGCGUGAGUGAAGAAGGUCUUCGGAUCGUAAAACUCUGUUAUUAGGGAAGAACAAAUGUGUAAGUAACUAUGCACGUCUUGACGGUACCUAAUCAGAAAGCCACGGCUAACUACGUG
rnacentral:rRNA from 1 species